rnacentral:snoRNA from 1 species
GCGGAUGAUUAUACAUUUUUAACCCCGAGCAUCAUGUCCCUCUCUGGGACGCUUUGAAGAUUAAAAACAGCAACAACAACACUCUAAUUUUUUGAUGACG